rnacentral:tRNA from 1 species
CUCUCCGUAGCUCAGCGGAUAGAGCAACAGUUUUCUAAACUGUCGGCCGCAGGUUCGAAUCCUGCCGGGGGGACCA